CCUACGGGAGGCUGCAGUGAGGAAUAUUGGUCAAUGGCCGUAAGGCUGAACCAGCCAAGUAGCGUGAGGGAAGACUGCCCUAUGGGUUGUAAACCUCUUUUAUGCGGGGAUAAAGUUAUCCACGUGUGGCUUUUUGCAUGUACUUCAUGAAUAAGGAUCGGCUAAGUCCGUGCCAGCAGCCGCGGUAAUACGGAAGAUCCGGGCGUUAUCCGGAUUUAUUGGGUUUAAAGGGAGCGUAGAUGGGUCUUUAAGCGUGCUGUGAAAUUUUGUGGCUCAACCAUGAGAGUGCGGCGCGAACUGGAGACCUUGAGUGAGCUGAGGGCAGGGGGAAUCGGGGGGGUAGGGGUAAAAUGUU
rnacentral:rRNA from 1 species